rnacentral:sRNA from 1 species
UGGAAUUAGUUACUAAUGUGAGAGCACC